ACUCCUACGGGAGGCAGCAGUGGGGAAUAUUGCACAAUGGGCGCAAGCCUGAUGCAGCCAUGCCGCGUGUGUGAAGAAGGCCUUCGGGUUGUAAAGCACUUUCAGUCGUGAGGAAGGUAGUGUAGUUAAUAGCUGCAUUAUUUGUACGUUAGCGACAGAAGAAGCACCGGCUAACUCCGUGCCAGCAGCCGCGGUAAUACGGAGGGUGCGAGCGUUAAUCGGAAUUACUGGGCGUAAAGCGCAUGCAGGUGGUUGUUAAGUCAGAUGUGAAAGCCCGGGGCUCAACCUCGGAAUAGCAUUUGAAACUGGCAGACUAGAGUACUGUAGAGGGGGUAGGAAUUUCAGGUGUAGCGGUGAAAUGCGUAGAGAUCUGAAGGAAUACCGGUGGCGAAGGCGGCCCCUGGACAGAUACUGACACUCAGAUGCGAAAGCGUGGGAGCAAACAGGAUUAGAUACCCCUGGUAGGAUAGCG
rnacentral:rRNA from 1 species